AGGGUUAAAUGAGUUAUGGGUUGA
rnacentral:siRNA from 1 species